GUCCGCACAGGCAGCAACCACGACUCUCUGCGAGCGAAGGGAGGAGUUUCACUGCACUUUCUUGUGAACUUUCCGCCACCAAUCACUCAGCUGCUGGCUUCCACACCUGGGCUGAACUCUUUUUGGCCAUGAACCUGGGCUUUGGAGCGGUGCUGCCCCCAGAGACUGACUCAGACUUUGCCGCUAUGGGAAAGCUGGGCACCACUAAAUUGCCACAAUCCUGCCUUCUGUGAUCUUGGAUACUACUAGUAUAAUUCAGCCUUGAACUGGACCUCUCUGCUUCAAUCCAAAACAAAGCCCCUCCCAAUAGUUGCAGGCAGUCGACGGAGGCGUCAAUGAGAGCAUUUGCUUUUGGGAGGGAAAGCUCCCCGCAGGGUUCUCCAUUCAGCGACACCACCUCGUCCCCCUCGCAGAUCCCGGCCAGGGACGCAUGACCGCCCUCUUCCACCUAUGGGAAGACAAACAGUGGUCAUCUCUCCAAAUGUGACAUCAGAGCGCACAGUGCCCACCAGUGAACAUACCACAACAGGUGCUCGUCGUGUGACCCAACAAUGCAAAUUGCUGCUUCGUUCAGAGCCGUAACCCAGACGUUCAGAAUAGCCAAGCAGCAGGGGGUGUUUAAGUGCAGGAGUUACCACUGACCUUCUCUCGCACUUUGGGUGACAGUGGUACUGUAUCUACAGCUUCAAACCACCUCAACUUCAUCACUCAAUAGCUGAACUAAUAGGGAAAUAUAUGGACUCAGCUGACAUUGAUACUUAUUUCAUUUAAUAUAACUGUGUCACUUGUGUACUGUUGGCACAGUGAUAUUAUGUUACUGUACUUAUUGAAAUGACAUUUACUGAUCUCUAGAAUGUUAAGAGCAAGAUUGCAAAAUAUGAGAAAUAAAAUGUGGUGGAAACAUUUCAAACAUGCUCAAUGCAUUGUAGAUUAAUAUAACAUACUACUGCAAUAACCCUUCACUUUAUAAAGCUGUAGUAAAUCAACUAUAAAUAGAUUGCAUCUAGUAAAGGAACUAUACAACUACCACUGUGAUGAAACUAUAUAGAGUGAAAGACAUGUAAAUACUCUAUAUGUGGUUAUUAGUGAAAUUAGUAUGAUUUGGAAAAAUGUGAAGGUGCAAUGUGUGAUUUUUGGACUUUUUAAUUAAUGAUAUACGUAUACAAGAAUAUACCUUUUAUAAAUGCCUCAUAAGCUUAGUUUAACUGUCGUACACCAUUAGAACCCAAAGUAGUUAUUAUAUUGUUUGUAAAAAAGACUGGUGCAGCAGUCUAAGGCACUGCAUCGCAGUGCUAGCUGUGUAACUACAGAUCCUGGUUCGAUUCCAGGCUGUGUUGCAGCCUGCCGCGACUGAGAUACAUGAGGUGGAGCACAAUUGGCCCAGCGUCGUCUGGGUUAGGGGAGGGUUUGGCUGGCCGGGAUGUCCUUGUCCCAUCGCGCUCUAGCGACUCCCGUGGCUGGUCGCGUGCAGUGCACGCUGACACCGUCGCUAGGUGUACGGUGUUUCCUCUGACACAUUGGUGCGACUGGCUUCUGGGUUAAGCGGGCAUUGUGGCAAGAAGCAGUGUGGCUUGGCGGGGUCAUCUUUCGGAAGUAGCACGACUCUUGACCUUCACCUCUCCCGAGUCCGUACGGCAGUUGCAGCGAUGGGACAAGACUAACUACGAAUUGGAUAUCACAAAAUUGGGGAGAAAAAGGGGGGUACAUUUUUUUGUAUAAUAAAUAAAUACAAAAAAAUAUGUUUUUAAAUGUAAUUAUUAACAAACACUGUAUAGCUUUAACCCUUUACACUCGUACACGCCUAAAUUUGAACGCAGUGGCUGCAGUAACAUGUUAUAAAUUACGUCAAAGCUCUGGCUCUAUGCUUCAAAUCGCUGUAUUGGUUUUGACCGACAGACAUUCUGAAUUUGAGCACGGCACACGACAAGAAGUUGCCCCCAUCCCGCCCACUAAUUGAUGCCCACUUGACCCAGAUUACGAUUUAUAAUAGGCUAUUUACAAUGGACCGUAAACAACAACAGUAAUUGUCUGAUGGCGGGGAUGCAGGGUUGUGUUCCAAACAAAAGUACAAGUGUGCUUGCUCUAGUUCCUCAACGGCAGAGCUAGGAGAGCUCAAAAAAAGAACCUUCUUUGAGUUAUAAAAGUGCAUUGAAAUGACCUAGGACCUGUGCACCCUAUUGAGAGUCUGUGGCCACUUGGAGAAACCAGUUAGUCCUCUCACUUAAAACCUUGUCAUUUUGUUGUCUACGUUGCACCUACCCCACAUUUUCCAGGAAUAUUCUUAUCGUGUUACUGAAUGUAUCCAGAGUAUGUUCAGAUGUUGUUAUCAACAAAUGCAGUGAAAAGUACAGUAAAUGUAAAAUGCUAAA